AGGGAGGGCGCUGGCGUAAAAAUGAUGGCGCGGGCGUCGCAUAGGGAUCCGGGGAAAGUAAGUGUACAGGCGUAGCGAGCGGCGUUAACGAGUAGCAUCGCUCAGCCGGAGCUUAAACCCUCGUUAGGAAGCUAACAACCGGCCAUACGUCUUGUAAAUCGGACCGAGCGUUCCACCGAUCUGCCAAUUUAUGCGGUCGUCGAACGCGACGGGCGCCGGAACAAUCGAUAAGAUCCGAGUCGGUAACAAUUAUCCACCGAGUCGAGCGAGAUCGGUCGAUCAAAAUACCCGAGCGUUUAGAUCGGAUCUCAAUUAGGAGGCGGACUCUCGGG